rnacentral:misc_RNA from 1 species
GAUGAAGAACGUAGCAAAAUGCGAUAAGUAAUGUGAAUUGCAGAAUUCAGUGAAUCAUCGAAUCUUUGAACGCACAUUGCGCCCGCUGGUAUUCCGGCGGGCAUGCCUGUUCGAGCGUCAUUUCAACCCUCAAGCCCCCGGGUUUGGUGUUGGGGAUCGGCUCUGCCCUUCUGGGCGGUGCCGCCCCCGAAAUACAUUGGCGGUCUCGCUGCAGCCUCCAUUGCGUAGUAGCUAACACCUCGCAACUGGAACGCGGCGCGGCCAUGCCGUAAAACCCCAACUUCUGAAUGUUGACCUCGGAUCAGGUAGGAAUACCCGCUGAACUUAAGCUUAUCAAUAAGCGGAGGA